rnacentral:lncRNA from 1 species
GAAGAAUACUGGGGUGCAUAAGCUACCACCUACCCUGCCAUUUAAGCUCCUCCUAGAAUCGUGCAUGGCCUACUGGUCAUGAGCAUGGAUGUACCCACACAAGAGGCUAUGGGUUUCUAAGCAUCUUUGUAUUCCAGAGGUGACCACAUCCCUCCUUGAGGCCGGGAAAAUCUGCCUCUGAGCCAAAUAAGGUGUGUGUGUGUGUGUGUGUUGUUUUUUUGUUUUUUGGGAACAGGGUCCCUCUCUGUCACCCAGGCUGGAGUACAGUGACCCAAUCACAGGCUCACUGCAGCCUUGACCUUCUGGACCCAAGCAAUUCUCCUACCUCUGACUUCUGUGUUGGUGGGACUACAGAGUGCACCAGGAAGCCUGGCUAAUUUUUGUACUUUUUUUUUUUUUUUGUAGAGACGGGGUCUCACCAUGUGGCCCAGACUGGUCUUGAACUCUUGGGCUCAAGCAAUCCAUCCACUUCGGCUUCCCAAAGUGCUGGGAUUACAGUAAGACCAUCAAUGUCCCAAACAGAGACUUUUCCAACAGACUGGGUCCUGGAGUGAAAAAAGUGAUGUGUAGUACUGUAGCAGGCCCACGAUGGACACGUAACAUGAGCAAGAAAUGAACUGUUGUCGUUGUAAGCCACUGAGAUGGGAGGGCAGUCAUUUUUCACACAGCAUAACCUAACCUAUACUGACUGAUACAAGGUCAAGGACAGAUCCUUGGUGAUCACUUAGGGCACAGAAAGAGGAAGAGAAGAUGUAGAAGAUGAUCCUCAGAGAAGAGGAUGAGAACAGGAAUGCAAGUGACAGAAAUACUAAAGCGUUUUCUUCAUUUAAUCCAGCAUUAACUGAUGAUCAGUGUCAUUGUUCUAAGCACAAUCCCUAAGUAGGGCAAUUGAGGAACAUCUUUCAAUAUUUCAAAUUUCAUGUAUGCCCCCAUCUGAGCACUUCCAUGAUUCUAUAGAUAUAUUUACAUAUGUGCUGUGAUGGUUAAUACUGAGUGUCAACUUGAUUGGAUUCAAGGAUGCCAAGUAUUGUUCCUGGGUGUGUCCAUCAGGGUGUUGUCAAAGGAGAUUAACAUUUGAUUCAGUGGACUAAGAGAGGCAGAUCCACCCUCAAUCUGGAUGGGCACCAUCUAAUUAGCUGCCAGUACAGCUAGGAUAAAAGCAGGCAGAGGAACACAGGAGGACUAGACUGGCUGAGUCUUCCAGCUUUCAUCUUUCUGCUGUGCUGGAUGUUUCCUGCCCUCGAACAACGGACUCCAAGUUCUUCAGCUUUUGGACUCUUGGACCUACACCAGUGGUUUGCCAGGGGUUUUUGGGCCUCUGGCCACAGACUGAAGGCUGUACUGUCGGCUUCCCUGUUUUUGAGGUUUUAGGACUUGGGCUGGUUUCCUUGUUCCUCAGUUUGCAGAUGGCCUAUUGUGGGACUUCACCUUGUGAUCCUGUGAGUCAAUACUCCUUAAUAAACUCCCUUUCAUAUACACAUCUAUCCUAUUAGUCCUGUCUCUCUAGAGAACCCUGACGAAUACAUAUGCAAAAUGAUGUAUGUACAAGACUAUGUAAUACAUCCUUAUUUUUGAUAGCAAAAGAUUGAACCAACUCAAAUAUCCAUUAAUGGAAGCCUGGUUAAAUCCAUCGGAGUAUAGCCACACACUGUAAUACCAUGAAACUCAAAGAAGUAACUCUAUGCACCAACAGGAGAAGUCACUACAUAUCUUAGUGACAUAUAUAAAGUUUAAAAAAGCAAAGUGAGACUUGAUUUUACUGUGAUAAUAUUAACAAAUAUUGGCUGGGCGCGGUGGCUCACGCCUGUAAUCCCAGCACUUUGGGAGGCCGAGGUGGGCGGAUCA